rnacentral:rRNA from 1 species
AUUGAACGCUGGCGGCAUGCUUUACACAUGCAAGUCGAACGGCAGCGCGGGCUUCGGCCUGGCGGCGAGUGGCGAACGGGUGAGUAAUGCAUCGGAACGUGCCCAGUAGUGGGGGAUAGCCCGGCGAAAGCCGGAUUAAUACCGCAUACGACCUGAGGGUGAAAGCGGGGGACCGAAAGGCCUCGCGCUAUUGGAGCGGCCGAUGUCGGAUUAGCUAGUUGGUGGGGUAAAGGCUUACCAAGGCGACGAUCCGUAGCUGGUCUGAGAGGACGACCAGCCACACUGGGACUGAGACACGGCCCAGACUCCUACGGGAGGCAGCAGUGGGGAAUUUUGGACAAUGGGGGCAACCCUGAUCCAGCCAUGCCGCGUGCGGGAAGAAGGCCUUCGGGUUGUAAACCGCUUUUGUUCGGGAAGAAAUCCUCUGGGCUAAUACCCCGGGGGGAUGACGGUACCGGAAGAAUAAGCACCGGCUAACAACGUG